GGUUGGAGCAGUAACACCUGUCAAAGGGUAAUGCAGGUGUCCUAAGGCUGCUCAGGGAAAACAGAAGCCUCCCGUGGAGCAGAAGGGCAAAAGCAGGCUUGAUCUUGAUUUUCAGUACGAAUACAGACCUGUGAAAGUGGGGCCUCACUUUCCUUCGGACCUUUGGGUUUUAAGCAGGAG
rnacentral:ncRNA from 1 species